GUCAGUCUAUAAAUCGUAAUAUAAACAAGAUGAAAUUUAGGGAAAAAUCAACUAUAAUCAGACCCAACAUUCCCACUUGUUGCGUUGAAAACAGACAAAAGAUAAUCACAUCAAGUCUAUGUUCAAGAAUCCCCCGAAGAAA